rnacentral:rRNA from 1 species
AUUGAACGCUGGCGGCAUGCUUUACACAUGCAAGUCGAACGGCAGCGCGGGCUUCUUCCUGGCGGCGAGUGGGGAACGGGUGAGUAAUGCAUCGGAACGUGCCCAGUAGUGGGGGAUAGCCCGGCGAAAGCCGGAUUAAUACCGCAUACGACCUGAUGGUGAAAGCGGGGGAUCGAAAGGCCUCGCGCUAUUUGAGCGGCCGAUGUCGGAUUAGCUAGUUGGUGGGGCAAAGGCUUACCAAGGCGACGAUCCGUAGCUGGUCUGAGAGGACGACCAGCCACACUGGAACUGAGACACGGCCCAGACUCCUACGGGAGGCAGCAGUAGGGAAUUUUGGACAAUGGGGGCAACCCUGAUCCAGCCAUGCCGCGUGAGGGAAGAAGGCCUUCGGGUUGUAAACCGCUUUUGUUCGGGAAGAAAUCCUCUGGGCUAAUACCCCGAGGGGAUGACGGUACCGGAAGAAUAAGCACCGGCUAACUACGUG